CUGGAAGCAGGGGAGAGGAAGGUGGUGUACGGCUGCAGAGGACAGGUGUCACUGCAGCCUUGGAGAAGUGGAGAGCAAAGGCAGGAGGGAAUGUGCCCAGGAGGCUGGUAAGGCGGGAGAGAGGAAAGGAAGGGGCAGCCGGCUCCGGAAGCCUGGGGAGCGCGACUCGGACCCUGGCCAAGGGACCGGCCAUGGGAGCCGCCUCGGCUGGCCGGCUGGGUUCUGGGGCUCCGACACCAGGGGCCCUAAACAGCACACUCGGCUGGUGUGUCAUGGUCUGUACCUACGUACAUGUCCCCCAAGAGCCUAGAGCUCAGCAGCGGGACCUUCAGAAGCUGACUGGGCUGCGAAGGCUCAGAGCUGACGGUCUAGGAGGCGGGGCCUGGCCGGAGGAGGUGGUCACCGGGGCGGGGCCUGGGAGGGGGUCUCCCAGGCUCCCCCCUCUCGACUUCCUGUUCCCCUCGCGGUGAGCUGCGCUCCUCUGCCAGGCCCCUCCGCCUCGCUUCUCUGCCAUGGACUGUGGGCUGAAGCGGGAGCCUGAAUAACCUCUCCUGUAAGUUAGAGGUGGCGGGUGUUGUGUCCCAGCGACGGGAAGGUGACUAGGACGGGCGUAGAACUCAGGCCCCAGUGCACCCGCCGGCUGGACACCUUGGGGAAAGGACUGGAGCGCCCUGUCCCCCGCUGGAUGCCAUUCAUUCCCCGUCCUUUGCAGUUUGAUGAGACCUGGACUCCAGGGACUUGAUAGGCACGAACUUAGGAUCCUCCUCCCUCAGCCUCCCAGAGUGCUGGGAUGACAGGUGAGCCCCACCACCUGGCUAAUUCACGACUUCUUGCUGAGGCCCACCUGCCUUCCCCACCUGCACACCCUGGGGGCCCAGCUCCCCGUUUUCCCAGCCAGGGGACUUGGACCCACUUCAUGAGCAUGGGAACCUCUGGUCUACAGCAGAACUCCUGUGAAACCGUGGGUUUUUGCUGUGUGGUCUACACCGCUGGCUGUGAGUCCAACAUCCAUGCUCCCCUCUGGCUUUACUAAUAAAACCUAAUUCUGUUCAGAACAGAACAGUGGCACCGGUCUACACUCU
rnacentral:lncRNA from 1 species